CAUCCUUAAGCGCCGAGGUAUUGCCACAGACUUUGAUGGCACACGUUGCAGCGCCGGGAUGGUUCAGGACUGCGAAAGGUAAGAGGGUGCAACCAAAUCGCAGCUAAGAGGAUUAACGAAGAUGUAUGACACCGGAGUCUGAAUCUAGUUCAGCCUUCCUCUGAAAACUGGGUCAAAUUCUUCCAUACCUCAAUGGAUGACAUCUAAUACUGACCACAGCGAGCCUUGGUACCAUGGUGAUGCGAGCUGUACAAAAUACAGACAGAGCAGAAGAAGGAUGCUAGGUGCGGCACUGCAGAGGUCACAGCAGGGGCGAGCAACGUGUUAGCUGCUCCACUUCCCCCAGGAUGGAGCAACGCACAGUGACCAAACCAG
rnacentral:lncRNA from 1 species